rnacentral:rRNA from 1 species
UAAGCAUAUCAAUAAGCGGAGGAAAAGAACUAACAAGGAUUCCCCUAGUAACUGCGAGUGAAGCGGGAAGAGCUCAAAUUUAAAAUCUGGCGUCCUCUGGUCGUCCGAGUUGUAGUCUGGAGAAGCGUUUUCCGUGUUGGACCGUGUAUAAGUCUCUUGGAACAGGGCGUCAUAGAGGGUGAGAAUCCCGUCUUUGACACGGACUACCAAUGCUUUGUGAUGCGCUCUCAAAGAGUCGAGUUGUUUGGGAAUGCAGCUCAAAAUGGGUGGUAAAUUCCAUCUAAAGCUAAAUAUAGGCGAGAGACCGAUAGCGAACAAGUACCGUGAGGGAAAGAUGAAAAGCACUUUGGAAAGAGAGUUAAACAGUACGUGAAAUUGCUGAAAGGGAAACGCUUGAAGUCAGUCACGUCUGCCAGGACUCAGCCUUGCUUUUGCUUGGUGCACUUUCUGGUUGGAUGGGCCAACAUCAAUUUCGACCGUUGGAGAAAGGCUUUGGGAAUGUGGCACCUUCGGGUGUGUUAUAGCCCUUUGUUGUAUACAACGGUUGGGAUUGAGGACCGCAGCACGCCUUUAUGGCCGGGGUUCGCCCACGUACGUGCUUAGGAUGUUGGCAUAAUGGCUUUAAGCGACCCGUCUGG